GCUUAAUAAUUCAAAGUUCCAUUUCAUUAUCCUAAUAUCCUGGAUUUGUUUCUACAUCAAACGGGACCUUUUCGGUACAUUUAUGUCCGACAUCACACUGAAAACUCUUUUAAAACACAGUUUAUGAUAGGAGGGUUUUUGUAUUUUAAAAAAUUGCUAUCAAGAUUGAUGGUUUCAGGAGCCAAUUUUAUAAGUGACAUUGGAAAGUGCUGUUAAAGGUUUUAAGCUGUUUUUAUUCAAUAUUAUACUUCAUGGGUAUUGAAAAACUUCAGUCUUUCGCCUCUGAAAAUCGGAACGUUGUUGAUACUCUUUAAAUGAAUGCAUGUAAUUUUUUUAUUGUCGGCUUUCGUAAAAUCUUCUAAAUUCAUUAAAUGAUGACGACCCAAAAAAUAAGCUCCUAAAGGACCGACCAAUACUACUGUAAUGGAUUGCUGUUGAGUGUCUGUAGUUCCGUCCAAUGUAUGAAUAUACCCUUCCCUCUUUCUUUAUCUUGUAUAACACGUUUUUACGUUGAGACUCCGUUGACUAGGUGAUAGAGAAGUGAGAGGGAAUUACUUUUCCAGUUUAAAUUUCUACUCAACCAAAUUUGGAUGAUUCAUGAUAGGGAGUUGAAUAUUGCAGAAGAUAAGGAUCUUGCUUAUAUCAGUAAUCUAAUGGGAACGUUCAGGAUUGGAAUUAAUUAUGUGAAAUAAACCUCCCACAAAAAUUCUCGAAUCAUCUUCGUAACUCCAUACAUUUUUACCACUAUUAUCAGCAACCCAGGAUUUAACAUCUAUAGUCAAUACUUUAUAUCAAACUUCAUCAUGAUACAACUUUACACGUUGUUAAUACUUCUAAAAUAAAUACGCAGUGAGUAGUUACAGGUAGGUUACUUAUUUCUAUAUGAUUAUGAAUUAUGAUAUAUUUUCUCCUCAAGAAUGAAAAAAUAAUGAUAAUAGCUUCUAUUAUUAGUUUCUAGUAUAAUAUGGAUUGCCAAUUGCAAAAAGCUGCUCCGGCUUUUUAGAACAUAUAAAAUUCCUGUCUGAAUAUAGGCCUGUUCUAACUAACUGUC
rnacentral:lncRNA from 1 species